rnacentral:rRNA from 1 species
UGUAACUUCUUUGUAAGGGAAUAAAAGUGGUACGUGUACCAUAUUGUAUGUACUUUACGAAUAAGGAUCGGCUAACUCCGUGC